AAAUUCCUCGUCUUGUGACGUGUCCUCUGCAGAAAGUUUAGAGGUUUCUAGUUGCAAAAUGCAACCUGCUGCCGUGCUCUUUUGUACUCCACUGUGUGUGCCUAYGUAAGAAAAACUUGACUUCAGGCUCGAAUCCUUGUGAAAACUUGCAGUGCGUUUCUAAUGUCCAGAUUUGAUAUCCCAAACUGCAUUUCAAAUUUCUGAAAGAUUGUGUGACAUUUUAGUAAGCCUUGGAUCAUACCCAGUAUUCUGGUUGCUGGAGAGAUUCCUCCUUCUGCAGUGACACUUUCUUCUGUGUUAUUCUUCACACCAUUACUUCUGGCUCAUAGACAUCUAAGAACUUGGAACGAGCAGAUGAGUGUGGGAAGACCCUGCUAGCUUG
rnacentral:lncRNA from 1 species